GUGAGGAAUAUUGCGCAAUGGAGGCAACUCUGACGCAGCCAUGCCGCGUGCAGGAAGAAGGCGCUACGCGUUGUAAACUGCUUUUAUCUGGGAAGAAAAAGGCCAUGCGUGGCAAAUUGCCGGUACCAGAUGAAUAAGCACCGGCUAACUCCGUGCCAGCAGCCGCGGUAAUACGGAGGGUGCGAGCGUUGUCCGGAUUUAUUGGGUUUAAAGGGUGCGUAGGCGGCUGCUUAAGUCAGCGGUGAAAGACUUCGGCUUAACCGGAGCAGUGCCGUUGAUACUGGUUGGCUUGCGUGUCGGAGGGGUACAUGGAAUUGAUGGUGUAGCGGUGAAAUGCAUAGAUACCAUCAGGAACACCGAUAGCGAAGGCAUUGUACUGGCCGACAACUGACGCUGAUGCACGAAAGUGUGGGGAUCGAACAGGAUUAGAAACCCCGGUAGUCC
rnacentral:rRNA from 1 species